CACGUAGGGCGCAAGCGUUGUCCGGAAUUAUUGGGCGUAAAGAGCUCGUAGGCGGUCUGUCGCGUCCGCUGUGAAAACUCGGGGCUUAACCCCGAGCCUGCAGUGGAUACGGGCAGACUAGAGGUAGGUAGGGGAGAAUGGAAUUCCACGUGUAGCGGUGAAAUGCGUAGAGAUGUGGAGGAACACCAGUGGCGAAGGCGGCUCUCUGGACUGUAACUGACGCUGAGGCGCGAAAGCGUGGGGAGCAAACAGG
rnacentral:rRNA from 1 species